rnacentral:rRNA from 1 species
UACGGGGGGGGCAAGCGUUGUUCGGAAUUACUGGGCGUAAAGGGCUCGUAGGCGGCCAACUAAGUCAGACGUGAAAUCCCCAGGCUCAACCUGGGAACUGCGUCUGAUACUGGAUGGCUUGAAUCCGGGAGAGGGAUGCAGAAUUCCAGGUGUAGCGGUGAAAUGCGUAGAUAUCUGGAGGAAUACCGGUGGCGAAGGCGGCAUCCUGGACCGGCAUUGACGCUGAGGAGCGAAAGUGUGGGGAGCGAACAGG